UGAAUGUAUUAUUAUUAUUCUUAUUAUUCUUAAGGCUUACUUUAAGGAAGUGUUUCCCGUUUCCUCACGUGUUACCAGGUGUUUGCGAGUUAAAACUCUGGUCUGAUUUUCAGAUACCCCUCACCGUGUUGCCGUUUUGAUUACUUUAUUUGGGUGUAUGCUUUCACCGAUUCUUCAAGAUGAUAUAUUUGGUCAGAAUGUUUGCCGUUUGAUGUGAUCUCAUAAGAUAAACAUCUUUCAUUAAUCUGACCCGCAGGCACUGAAGUGAUGGAGACUGUUAUUCAUAAUAACAGUGUCGUAUUUUAUGAGAAUCACUGAUAGCAGUUUUUUAGUGAAUUAUUAUUAUUAUUUUUUUUAAUGCUGUUAAUAACUGCAUUUGUUUUCAAAAAACUUGUUUGGUAUAUCCAUGCUUUACUCCCUACCAAAAUCUUUUAUGCAAUGACCUUUACAGGUCGCUUAUAUUACUUCACACAAACACUACGUCCAUCUGCUCCUGGUUCGGCCCUCCGGUCCAAAUUUAGAACCCAGUUCGGCCCGCGAGUCAAAAAGUUUGCCCACCCCUGUUGUAAAGUCUCAUCUCGCGAGAGAAGUGGUUUUGGCUCUUUGAGAUAGAAAUUCCGAGCGCCUUCUCGAUUUUUCAGCAUAUGCCUAAUUUCAGAAUCACCUUGUAAAGAUUCAUCUUUACUAUAAGGUUUCGACUGUUUGAGGUAGAAAUCCUGUUUUUUCUCAGGAACGUCAGAAAUUGAGUUGAUGUAUGAAAUAAUACAUAACCCGACCUCCCAUGAGCCUUUUAAAUCGAUAUGUUGCGCUAAUUCCACUUUAAAUUCUGAAAGCGUGUUGUCAGGAAAGAUGUGCAUGCUAGCAUUUGAGGCUAAUGUUACGUAGAAUUCUCUCCGGACAUAACUAUCGGUUUUUAAAUGUCUUUAACGCUAUAUGCAGGCACCCAGCUGUCAAAUUUGGUUGGCCAGCCAACCCAGUGGAUGAGAAACUCCCUUUUGCCUGACACGGUGCGUGAUUUAAGAAUUUUCUGUAUACGGAAAAUCUUUUUUUUUUUUUUUUUUUACUUUUUGUAAUUCCGCUUUGUAAAAACUGCUUUCUAUUAGCACACCGUCCAAGUCUGAUAUUUUGUAGACAGGCGGGACGCGAUGGAGACAUUGUUAUCCUGAAUAUUUCGUCCGUGAAACUUUACAGAUAACUUUGUCUCCACAGGUGGAAAACUCGGUAAAAGUCGUCUGGCAGAUCUUUUUUGGGCCAUCUUCUUGUUGAUGUCUCUUUCUCGGCUUCAGGUCUGAGGGGCUGAGUCCUAGAAACGGGGCUUCUCUUAUACAGAGGUGUGCUAAUGAUUACACGCCUUCUCCUAAAAAAAACGCCUCCUCAUGUCCAUAGGUAUGCUAAUGAUUACACCCCCCAUCCCAACCUACUGUGGAAGUAGAUAAAAAAAGAGGGGGAUAUGUGUGUGUGUGUAGUAAAGUAGUGUGAGGCUAAUCUAAAAGUCAAUUUACGUUUCGCUCCAAUCAUAUUUGUCCAGACACUGCUUGCUACAAAAAGCCUUGAAAUACUCUCACCAGAUGCUUGCAUUCUCUCAUGCCAUUCCGUUAAAGGCACGUUAACUAUUGUUUGAAAAAUGCCACAUUCGCUAUUAAACACUUCUAGCGUCAGAUACAAUAGAUCGAUUAGCUCUCCAUCUUCUACCCCAUCGGUAAUUGAGGAGAAACUUUAACCCGUAAAAAACAUUUCCCGCUGGCCGUAAUUCUUGAAACCCAGGUUAUGUUCAGCUCACCUUGUAGGCCGUACUCGUUUAGAAAUUCUGUCAAAACCUGGGGCAGGAGCUGAUUUAACACUCCCCAGUCAUUUGAGUUUAACAGCCCAUACGUAUUGUUUGCUUCAGAGUUGUUGCUGGUUGGUCCAGACAGUUCUCGGUUUUUCAUGAAGAAAAAUAGCUCCCCGACUUCAUAAAAAAAUUGAAACCCCCAUAGAGUCUCCGUUGUCAUGUCCCAGUUCUGUUCAAGUUUUUCCGUAGGAGGCUGUUGGAUACGUUUGAGUCAUGACUACAUUUUACCGCGGCACCAUUGACAGCGUCCUCUCCAGCUGUAUUGCUGUUUUUGGUGGCGGCUGCACUGACUACGACUUGAACGCCCUGCAGCGCAUAGUGAACACGGCUGGUAAGAUUAUUGGUGCUUCGCUCCCCUCCUUGAAGGACAUUUACACGUCCCAUCUCACCCGCAAGGCGACCACGAUUCUGAGUGAUGUGAGUCACCCCGCUCACUCUUUGUUUGAGCUUCUGCCCUCUGGGAAGAGGUACAGGAGCCUGCGCUCCCGCACCACCAGACUCUCCAACAGCUUCAUACUCCAGGCUGUUAGGAUCCUGAACUCGCCCCCCCUUUCUGCGUAGCGUCCUGUACUUUGCGCUAUGCUCACUGUCUGCUGUACGCACACUGGCUCAGUUUUGCUCCUCUUAUUUAUUGGGUUAUUUGUUUAUUAUUUAUUCAUCACUCAUUUUAUUUAUUUAUUAUUUAUUGUUUGUGCCUUCUUGUUUUUAUUUUGUAUCGUCUACUUGUAUGUUUAUCGUGUACUGUGUCUCGUCACCGUGGGAUGGAGGAAACGGAAUUUCGGUUUCUUUGUGUGUCUUGACAUAUGAAGGGAUUGACAAUAAAGCUGACUUUGACAUAUGUUUUUUUCCAGGAGCAUUUAACAAACCGUCACCAUCUUUACGGCUAAAAUGGAUACUAACAGGUGUUUCCGCUAUCAUGAUUUAAGCUUCAGGUUUACAGUUUAACACCGUCGCUGUAGCUCUUUAAACUCAGCACUCACCAGCCCGACCUUUAAUAUACCUGCAGUAGGUCCACCCCCUGUCUCCUUAAAACCACACCUUUGUCACGUGUUUUAUUCAAGACAUGUUAGACUACUCCCCUAAAACUAUCUAAACAAAAUGUAACAUACGAAAUAUGUUAGAAGUACAGCAAAUAUACUAAAAUAUAAGGCUUUCAGAGGCCUUCAACUGUCUUCUCAAAAAUGAUCUCCAACACACCCCAGUCAUUUGAGUUCAACAAACCGGUACGUGCUGGUUGGUUCAGAGUUGUUGCCUUUGCGAAUGGUUCAACUCUAAUCUUUCUCUUUUGUCCUGACACCUCUCUAAAAACCCACAGCUGUACGAAUCGUUCAACUUUGCUUUAAUUCUAAUCUGCAGGUUCAGAGUCGUUGCCCUAAAUUUUCCUCCUUUGUCUUGACCCCCUCUCUAAAAACCCACACCUGUGCGAAUCCUUCAACUUUGCUUGUAAUUCUAGAGCUACAGGCCUCACAGUCAGUUUUUCUCCCUUUGCGAUUGCUUCAACCCUUAGGAUACUAAUUUCAAACAUGUCCCAACAUAACACCUCUAUUGCAAGUCUAAUCUUCAGACAUUUUGUCUCCAAAAAAACACACCUCUACACCCCCCUCAAAAACGGUCAGUUUUCCCCUUUGGCGAUUGCUUCAACCCUUAGGAUACUAAUUUCAAACACGUCCCAACAUAACACCUCUAUUGCAAUUCUAAUCUUCAUUUUGUCUCCAAAAAAACACACCUGGACAUCCCCCACAAAAGCGGUCAGUUUUCCCCCUUUGCGAUUGCUUCAAAUCUUAGGAUACUAAUUUCAAACAUGUCCCAGCAUAACACCUCUAUUGCAAUUCUAAUCUUCAGACAUUUUGUCUCCAAAAAAUCCCCAAAAAACCACCUGGACACCCCCCACAAAAGCGGUCAGUUUUUCUGCCUUUGCGAAUGCCGUCCCUGGUGUUAUCUUAGUGACAGUACACCCCUGCAUCAUUUGCAAAACAAUAGACAUACACCUGCCUCAUUUGCAUAACAAUAGAAUACACCUGCUUCAUUUGCAUAACAAUGACAUCAAAGGAUAAGUGCAUUAUUAUAGUGUGUCACAGGUCUGCAGGACAGUAAUGUUUGCACAAACAAGUGAAACUUGCCUUGUUACUUGUUGGCUUAAACUGCAGUACUGUGAGGAGCAUUGUUUUAUCAAAUAAACACUUGGGAUAUUCCUCAUUGCGCUCUCAAUUACAGUGGAGAUGUGGCAUUGUGCAUCUAUUUGGAGAGCACCAGAGGUUAGGAGGACAGGUUUGAAUAUUUCCCCCAGCAGUUCUGCCCUCUAGCAAAUCCGCAUGUUUCCCUCAAUGAAGGAAAGAUGACGAGCAACAAACCGGUCCACACGAAUGGGUAGGCUUUAAACUUGAGUAGGCCUUUUUUUUAUGUUUUUGAACUUUGCUUCAACAGCUGCGGAACUUGUAGUGAUGCUGGUGCUUUUGAAGAGAGGGACCAUUAUUGCUGUCCAGAGUGGCAAGUAACUUACAAGUCUUGUUAUGUGGGGAAUAAUCUCAGGGAGGAAGUGGAUGUUGUCUCGAUCCCCAUCAGCCAUGGCAAUCCCAUCGGCAGAUCAUCUUAAUACAGUGUGCGACAUCUACCCUGACAAAACAUGGGGGUAGAUGUCCAGGUUGAUUCCCACGUGAAAUGUUAAAGCUCUUCAGAUCAGGAUGAGGGCCUCUGCACGACUGGGAUACUGGAGCUGGUAUGCCCUGUCAUAACACCCUGAUACAGGAAGAUAUGGCCAGACAUGCCAUUCGGUCUCAUCAGUUUUUUAACUAUUGAGCCAGUUGCAUCAAUAUUGGGGUGGCCAAAUUUGGCAGGUGGCUUGGCUCAGAGUCUCCGAAGUCCAUCAGUUUAUUUGCCUGUGAUGCUCGCCAUACAUGUGGUUCCAUCCUGCCCUCACAAAGUUCCUUGGCUACCUCCACACGCAACUGUCCAGAUAGAAACCAGUGUCUAGGGCAGGGGUGGGCAAUUAUUUUUUCCAUGGGGCCACAUGAGAAACAGAAAAUAUUGUGGGGGGCCGGGUCAAAAGGCUUAACUCAAUUCUACAUAAUAUUAAUUGUAAUUGUAGUUUUUUAAUUGUAUUUUUUUUAAUAAAAAGUAGUAAAUAGCAUUAUUUUUGACAAGCUGGUAAGAGUAUAUGUUAUGAUUAAGCCAGGGGUGGGCAAACUUUUUGACUCGCGGGCCGAACUGGGUUCUAAAUUUGGACCGGAGGGCCGAACCAGGAGCAUAUGGACGUAGUGUUUGUGUGAAGUAAUAUAAGCGACCUGUAAAGGUCAUUGCAUAAAAGAUUUUGGUAGGGAGUAAAGCAUGGAUAUUCCAAACAAGUUUUUUGAAAACAAAUGCAGUUAUUAACAGCAUUAAAAAAAAUAAUAAUAAUAAUUCACUAAAAAACUGCUAUCAGUGAUUCUCAUAAAAUACGACACUGUUAUUAUGAAUAACAGUCUCCAUCACUUCAGUGCCUGCGGGUCAGAUUAAUGAAAGAUGUUUAUCUUAUGAGAUCACAUCAAACGGCAAACAUUCUGACCAAAUAUAUCAUCUUGAAGAAUCGGUGAAAGCAUACACCCAAAUAAAGUAAUCAAAACGGCAACACGGUGAGGGGUAUCUGAAAAUCAGACCAGAGUUUUAACUCGCAAACAUCUGGUAACACGUGAGGAAACGGGAAACACUUCCUUAAAGUAAGCCUUAAGAAUAAUAAGAAUAAUAAUAAUACAUUCAAUUUAUAUAGCGCUUUUCAAUAACCCAAAGACGCUUUACAUGGAAUAAAAAAAAAGAGUGGAGGGGGGGGGGGAGAGACAGUAGGUUAUAGUUAACAGGACAUGGGUCAGCAGUGCAAAGGGGAUGGAUGGAGGAGCAGGAGGGGCGGGAGCGGAGGUUGUUGAGGUUGCCAGUACGGGAGGUGGGGGUGACGGGGGGUUGGUAGUCCAAAAAGAGGAGAUGGGUGAGCCAUCGGGGAAAUGCCGGACAGAUGUAGCGGCGACGGAUCCCAGCCUCGUGUGGAAAGUGCAGUGGACCAGGUGGUGAUGCCAGUCGACCUCGACUGCACCCGCUCGAACGGCAGGCCCCAACGCACCACGGCGGCACACAGCAGAGCUACGGUUGGCGAGCCCGCAGGGAGUGGAGCCCGCCCCCCGCGGACGCCGGACGGAAGGCCAGAGAGCUGGGCCAGAGCUGCCGUCGAGUCCGCAGCAGGCGGCCACAAGCUCCGAGUCGGGAGGCAGGAGGGUCCGGUGGUGGUUUUGUCCAGUUGGCUGUUGGCUAGCUGGCUAACGUAGUUGGUAGAGGAGACAGAUAGGUGAGAGCGGAGCUGCGGGGAAGCGAGGUGGACGGAAGACAACACGAGAAAAAAUAAAAGAAGAGACAGGUGGACUGAAAACGGGAAAACGAAAAACAAGUAACAGACACGGUCCGGGACAGAAGCGGCAGUCAACAAAUCUGACGCCAGCGUGCUCUAACCCGGAAUACAACAGACAGUGGGGGAGGGUCGCACAGCGAUGAAUUUUACAGGUUAAGAUUAGUCGCAAACAGGUGGUGCAUCAAUGUCCUUGAGCAUCCUGCAUUGUUUGAAAAUGAAAAUGGUCGCUAGUUUUAAUCCCUGCUAUGUGUACAACUCAUAUUCAAAAUGCAUUUUUUUACAACAAACUUGAGAGCCUCCCCUUCAUUUUCAGUGGGAACAGUGUUGUUGGUCUCCCAUUUUUGCUAGUGCGUCAUAGUCUGGACUAAAAUUUGUUGUGGCAAUUCUUAGGCGAGAUCCGAGGUGUUGGUCCGUUUACCUCGAUCUGUGACGGGUUGAUGUUGACGUUCAUGUGGCUGAACGUCAAGUCGCGUACGUCGAGCCAAAUUGGCCACUCUCUUUUAAACGCUCGGCACUGUGUCCACCUUACUUUUACUUGGGCGACUCAUUUUAAUGGAAGGAUUCCAGGGGAAGGUUUGUGGGUGGCUUUAGCGCAAAACUGCAUCUGAAAGCUCAGCGCGCGAAUUACAAGAAUGCUGUCGUCACAGCCCACGCUCUAAAUUCGGGACUGAUACAAAUAGAGCGCGAGUGCGCCAUGUCCGUACUACUGAGUACGUACACGCACAUAGAGCGCGAGUGCGCCAUGUCCGUACUACUGAGUACGUACACGCACUUGUGAGUGUUCACCGAGCUUUCUGACACGGCUUCCGGUAGUAAAUGCGCAGGCGAGCGCUUCCCCAUCUACUGGGGAAACGCAGUCAUUGCAGGCAAAAUGACCAAAAAAAAAAAAAAGUUUAAUAAUACAAUUUGUUCAGGAUUGGCGGGCCGGAUUAAACGGUCCCGUGGGCCGGAUGUGGCCCGCGGGCCGUAGUUUGCCCACCCCUGGAUUAAGCAAUGAAAAAAUGAGGUUGCCUUCAAAAAAGUGUUUAUUCAGAUUUUCCCAAGACAAUGUUAAACAAAAUGUGAACAUUUUUAACAUUUGUGACUCAUUAUAUUAAUCAUUUUCAGUCAAAUUCACAAGAAAACACGUUUUGAGUUUCACGUUCAGUACCGUUGGAAAGAGAUUCUUAGCUUUCUAAAGACACACGUCUUGUACUCUAAAUAUCAAACAAGAUACAUCAUAUUAUAAUGAUUGUCACUAAACUGUGACUUUGAGAAAAAGGCCAUCAAAGAAAGUGUUCCAUUCACUGCUAACUGGUGCCUUUACAUGCCAACAUUUGUAGUCUAACCACCUCAUUUGGUGUUUUUCAGUUCUUUUUUUCUUGUUCAGUGUGAGAAAUCUAGUCUCUGUUGGGCUUUAACAAGUACAUCAAAGUCAGGUUGAAUGUCUGAGGUGCAGAUGCGAAGCAAAGCUGACAGAUCAUCAGUGAGAGAGGAUCUAUAUCUGGAUUUGGUAAACUUCAUUACUGAGAAUGUUUGUUCACAUAUGUAGGUAGAGCCAAAGAGUACCAACAUCUUCUGAGCAUGUCUCCUCAUGUUUGGAAAGUUCUCCUUCUUGAGAGAAGAGUAAAAAUCCAGCAGCGAUCUUGACUUAAACUGCUCUGCCAGUACUGCAUCAGACUGCAGGUCAAUGAGUUCUAGCUGAACAUCACUGGGUGCAUGAUCCACACUGCAGGUAAAGGGAGAGGAAAUCAUGCACAGUUCAUCCUCGAUUGUUCUGAGGUCUUCAAAGCGCCUUGAAAACUCACCAUGCAAUGCUCCUAACAUGGAUGAGUACCUGCAGAGGUGAUCAGCUGAAGGUGUAACUUCUUUCAGGGUUUGCAUGUGAGUGAGAGUGUUGCUCUCCAGUUGGCUUGAAAUAAACUGUAUCUUUCUCAUAAAAGCUUUCACCAGGCUGCUCAUUUCAUGAACAAAAAGGCCCUUGCCUUGCAGUUUGGUAUUCAGUUCAUUCAUCAGUGCAGUCACAUCAACAGCAAAUGCAAAAUCUGCCAUCCAGUCCUCAUCUGAGAGCUGUGGGAUGUCUUUGCCUUUUUUCUCACAAAACCCUUGAAUCUCUGCUUUCAGGUCCCAAACUCUUUUUAGCACUUUGCCCAGGCUGAGCCAUCUGACAGCUGUCUGGUAGCUGAUGUCACUAUGCUCACUCUCAUGCUCCUCCAAAAGUGCAACAAACUGUCUGUGAUUCAAUGCUCGUGCCCUGAUGAAGUUUACUAUUUUAGUUACAACAUCAAUAACAUGGUUAAUUUUUAGCACUGACUUGCACAACACAUGCUGGUGUAUAAUACAAUGCAAAAAUACCAAUUUCUGGUCUGCGUCGAUUUCACUCACUUUAUCUUGCAUACGUUUCAAAAGACCGACAUUUCUCCCGGUAAGAUUCGGACAACCGUCCGUAGUGACACCAGCCAUUCUGUCCCAUCUCAGUCCCAGUGUGUCCAUGCACGCAUUUAACUCCAUGAUCAAGUCUCUCCCUGUCGUUCUCCCUUUCAUUGGCCGGAUUGCAGCCAGCUCCUCCGUAAUCUUAAAGUCCGUUAUCCCACGAACAAACACGAGUAACUGGGCUGUAUCACGGACAUCAUAGCUCUCGUCCAAAGCCAAGGAGAAAAAGUCAAAACUUGCCACUUCACUUUCCAGCUGAAGCUUCAGGUUUCCCGCGAUGUCCUCAAUCCUCCUGGUCACGGUUCGCCGGGAAAGCGGGACUUGCUCAAAUGCUUCCCUUUUUUCAGGGCAUAUUAGUGCUGCAGAGUCCACCAAGCACUCUUUCACAAACCCCCCCCUCUGAGAAUGGCUUACAGUUUUUAGCGAUUUUGUGGGAUAUCACAAAGCUCACAUGUUUAUUUUGUAAUUCCCUAUUAACACGGGCCAGUGAGAGUCAAGCAAAGGGCCGUAUGUGGCCCGCGGGCCGUAGUUUGCUCACCCCGCUUUUUUUUUUUUUGUUGCACAAAGUAGUACUGUUUUGGCAGUCGCUGCUUGUUGCACACAAAGUUGAUACAGUACAAUAUUUUGUAAACCUAUCCUCUGUUAGGACAAUAUUUUGUGGCAGUGUAUGAUCUGAUUGGUGGUGAUCCCUGAUUGGUGCCCCUCAUACCCAGCCAGCCCAUCAGUGCAGGGGGGCGUGGCUUCAUCAGUGAUUGGUUUCAGAUGUGCCAUCAGGUGCACUAAUUGAACCUCCUAUUUAGAAAGGACUCUGCAUUCAGGCUGGCUGUUUGUGUCAUGUGAAUUGUGUUGCAGUGUCAAUCUGUCACCAUAAUUGUUUGGGUGUGUUUGUGCUGGUGUUCUUACGUAGUACUUUGUCAGGGAAAACUUUCCUAACACAAUAAAGCAUUCAAGCCUAAUGGUGCCAAAAUGAAUUUUAAGACCUGAAGCAUUUCAGAAAAAUGUAUAAAGAAGUUUUGAUUCAUGUCUUGCGAUGUCGUAUGCUCAUUAGGGACACCUAUUUCCAGCAAUUGUGUGGAAAUCUUCAAUAGUAGAAAAAAGAACAGGUUAACGGCGGCCGUGCUGCAGCGAUGGCUUUUAUGGCAGACAGUCGUUCCCUAUGCUCAUGUAGAAUAAAAAUGCUUCCCUUUGCUCUUAAUUGUCUGUAAAGAGCCGCACACGUAAUCACAGAGGCAACUCAGUUGCAGGACAUUAAAUUUGAACAAUGGCAAAUUGACCAGCCUUUACAAUGUCAUAAAUUCCAUUUAGUCUUAACAUUAUUGGCAAAAUUUCAUGAAAGUUUCGUUCCUUCAUUUUAGGUUUUUCUGAUGUCAUUGAUCUUGAUAGAAAUUUAGAAAAACAUACAGAGAUCAUAAAACCACGUCACGUCCCGAACCCAAACUUGCAUAUGAGUGGGGAAUUCAGUUGGAUUCUGUCAGAGUGUAAAUUAUGCUGUUGGGAAUAUACAUAUAUUGCCGUGGGAAUAUUGAAACAACCUCCCUAGGUAAAUUGAAUGACCUUAUCAUGCAUAUAGAUAAUUUCUUGAAUGAUUAUAUACAUUAAUUAUCACAGGCCAUCGAACUGGGGUGCCGUGGGCCAAUCGGAAUGCUCAUCUCCCUGGUUCCACUGUUUUAUAUGUAUUUUGCGCUAGCCAUGAUGUUCAGUUGAAAUAAACCACAGUAGCGGCAACCCUAGUGUGAUCAUUGACACAUCCGAGAGCAAACUUUUACGUACAUGGUGUCAGGAAUAAGAUGAGCCUUCUCGCCGGCGAGUUUUUAUCUUUUCUUUACCGUGUACGUGUAGUGCUCGUUUAUUACGUUACGUUUUGUUCGCGUUGGCUACCAUAACGACAACAAGCCGCUCUUCUUUCCUGAAAUGGCGGACGUAUUUUGCAGACCCGACCCCCACAUUUUCAACUAGAACAUCGCAGAGAAUUGCCGUGUUUUUGAAAGGGAAUAUGCUGUCUUCAUUGCCGCGGCACAGCCAAGACCAGGCUUACGUCCUCCUCAACAUCGCUGAAACAUCGAGCGGGAGGGUCUAUGCCCCAAAGGUGCGGGUUCCUGACGGUGAAGGAUGGUUAAGGAUUGUCACUAGAGAAGAUCCGGUGUGCCUUAAAAGAAAGUUAGCUGAAAUCGGCAACCCACAAAACAAAAUUUGUAACCAAACGGAAACUACAGGUUCAAGAGGCUCCGUUUCUAGUUCAAAAGUUGAAACGGGUUGAAUCGGACAAAAAUGCUAAAAGUUAUAGUAAAUGUUAUAUUUAAGUCACUACUGGUUUCAUUUAAGGCACUUGUUGAAAUAAGGUCAAUUUAUUUGGUGCACUUCCGGUUUACCUGAGAUCACUUCCAGUUUGUUUUGGGGCACUUCAAAGUCAAAGUCAGCUUUAUUGUCAAUCUCUUCACAUGUCAAGA